UUGCUUUGGUAGCAGAUAUACUAAAAUUGGAACAAUCUAGAGAUUAGCAUGGCCCCUGUAAAAAAGGGUGAUCUGCAAAUUUGUGAAGUGCUCCACAUUUAU
ensembl:snRNA U6 U6 spliceosomal RNA